rnacentral:rRNA from 1 species
UACGGAGGAUCCAAGCGUUAUCCGGAUUUAUUCGGGUUUAAAGGGUGUACGGUAGGUGGCUUUUUAAGUUCAGGGGUGAAAGGACGGAUAGCUUAACUAUUCGCAGUGCCUUUGACUUACUGAAGAGACUUGAAUUGAACUAAGAGGUAGGCGGAAUGUGACAAGUAGCGGUGGAAAAUGCAUAGAUAUGUCACAGAACACCAAUUGCGAAGGCAGCUUACUAUGGUUUGAUUGACACUGAGGCACGAAAGCGUGGGGAGUCAAACAGG